rnacentral:piRNA from 1 species
UCUCAGGACCUCCAUUGGAUUGGAACUGGG